AGAAAUAAACUAUGAGUCUGUUUUGUGUACCUGUUACAGUUCAUGGUUUAGAAUUAAACCCCCAAAAGUCAUUAUUUUUCAUGAUCAUUAGGUUGAAAACUGGAAGGCUAAAGAAUUCUAUGUUUCCUACUUGGUAGAUUUACAUCUUUAUCUGCUAUAUGCUUGUUGCUAAAGCAUGAGGUGUGUUCAAUUUUGAUGCACCCCCAAGGCAAAGUUAUUGUUUAUGACUUUUAAACAUAGU
rnacentral:misc_RNA from 1 species